rnacentral:rRNA from 1 species
AUUGAACGCUGGCGGCAUGCUUUACACAUGCAAGUCGAGCGGCAGCGCGGGGGCAACCCUGGCGGCGAGCGGCGAACGGGUGAGUAAUGCAUCGGAACGUACCCUGGAGUGGGGGAUAACGCCGCGAAAGCGGCGCUAAUACCGCAUAUGCUCUGAGGAGGAAAGUGGGGGACCGCAAGGCCUCACGCUCUGGGAGCGGCCGAUGUCCGAUUAGCUAGUUGGUGGGGUAAAGGCUUACCAAGGCGACGAUCGGUAGCUGGUCUGAGAGGAUGAUCAGCCACACUGGGACUGAGACACGGCCCAGACUCCUACGGGAGGCAGCAGUGGGGAAUUUUGGACAAUGGGGGCAACCCUGAUCCAGCCAUGCCGCGUGAGUGAAGAAGGCCUUC